rnacentral:tRNA from 1 species
UGUCAUAGUGGUUAAGAGCUUGUCUGCUAACCAAAAAGUUGGUGGUUCAAAUCCACC